rnacentral:rRNA from 1 species
AAACUAGGAUUAGAUACCCUUUUAUUUAUUAUUAAAAUUUUUUAUUUAAUAAAUAUUUUUUAAUAAAAAAAUUAAUUAAAAUGGCAGUAUAUUAUAAAAUUAGAGGAUUUUGUUAUAUAAUAGAUAUUACACUUUAAAAUUUAUUUAAUUUUUUGUAUAUAUAUAUUGUAUAUUGUUGUAUUAAACUGAUAUUUUAAAAAUUAUUAGUAUUUUUUUUUAAAAAAAUAAAUUCAAAUCAACAUACAUGCCAUAAUUAAAAUUUAAAUGAAAUACAAUUAAAUCUAUUAAUGAAUAAUAAAUUGUAAAAUUUAUUUAAAAUUGGAUUUAAUAGUAAAAAUUUAAUAAAUUUUUUAUUUGAAUUAAAUUAAUAUAUGUACAUAUUGCCCGUCGUUUUUAAUU